UCGAGAAUUUUUCACAAUGGGCGCAAGCCUGAUGGAGCGACGCCGCGUGGGGGAUGAAUGGCUUCGGCCCGUAAACCCCUGUCAUUUGCGAUCAACCGUUGUUGUUUAAGAGAUGACAACCUGAUAGUAGCGAAAGAGGAAGGGACGGCUAACUCUGUGCCAGCAGCCGCGGUAAUACGGAGGUCCCAAGCGUUGUGCGGAUUCACUGGGCGUAAAGGGUGCGUAGGUGGCAAGGUAAGUCGGAUGUGAAAUCUCCGGGCUCAACUAGGAAAUGGCAGUGGAAACUGCAUGGCGCGAGGGUGGGAGGGGGGACUGGAAUACUUGGUGUAGCAGUGAAAUGCGUAGAUAUCAAGUGGAACACCAGUGGCGAAGGCGAGUCCCUGGACAACUCCUGACACUGAGGCACGAAAGCUAGGGGAGCAAACA
rnacentral:rRNA from 1 species